rnacentral:rRNA from 1 species
GACGAACGCUUGCGGCGUGCCUAAGAAAUGCAAGUCGAACGGGAGGGACUUCGGUUCUUCUAGUGGCGAACGGUCGCGUAACACGUAGGCAACCUGCCCGAAAGUGGGGGACAACAGCCUGAAAGGGCUGCUAAUACCGCAUGUGGCUUCCUUGUGGCAUCACGAGGAAUCUAAAGCUUGAUGCGCUUUCGGAUGGGCUU